rnacentral:lncRNA from 1 species
ACCCACUAUUCUAUCAACUUAACAGAGGGUUGAAAGUUCAUAUAAGUGACAGAAAAUAAUACUUUACACAGUCCAAAUACAGUUCCAUAGGCAGGGAAAUAUAACUAACAGUUCGACUAAAAUGAAAUCAAAAUAAAAUGAGCAGCCAAGCAAUUACAAUCAGCAUUCUUCAUUUCAACUCUUAGCAUGGAAGAUCUACAUCACAUUAAAUUGAGUAAGUGUACCUAGAAUUCGAAAAUGAGAAGAAGAAGAGAAAGUCAUCAAAAACAACUAUGUACAACAAUCAACAAACCCCUAACCAAUUCAAUGACUAAGAAAAGUUCAAAACCAAGCAAAAACCCAAACGAUUGACCACAAAAUUAAUCGAACACACUCGAAUGCAAUCAAAAUUUGAUCCAGGACCUACAACACUUCUUCAGCAAUCAAAACGAUCGCAAAACUCAUUCCAAAUGAACACUAACACUUUUAAAGGCUUUGAACAGCUACGUAUAUAACAGAAACAGAGCAAUUGAACUAUUUUUUAUCUUAAAAUCAAUGUAAUCGUAUCUUUGUGUAGUUUUCUGAAGGUUUUACAUUGUUUUUGGAUUUUUGGAUGUUUGAAUUUUAAAUCAUAUCUGAAAAUUGAAAAGGAAGUGUUUUUGGGAGGAAUUUUG